CGAAAACCAGAUCCACCCUUUAAAGUCUCGACGCUGAAAAGGCACGUUGAAAAGGCAUCAGAUAUCCCUUUCAUCUUCGUCACUUCUCAGCUGCUUUUAAGACCAUCUUCGUACCAAAGAUUUAUAGGUGUGUUUCUACCAUUUCACACUUGAAAACAAGAAAAAGGAAAAUCGAAUAGCUUCAUUUGAUCAAAUAAAAAAGAGAGUGAUAGGUUCUAUUCAUGUCGUUCAACAUUUUAGCUUCUUUUUCGGAGUUUUCGAUUCCGAAAGCAAGGAUUUCAAUGGAGUAUGAUUGAGUUAGUCUUGGUUUCGAACUUUUCAGUGCCGAUCUGAGUUUUCGUCCGUGGUUCGUUAUAUUUCUGAGUUCAAAGCAGUAAAAAAUUAAUUUUUAGCUAAUUGAGGUCCAUUUCUCUUUCUCUGCCUAAUUUGACAUCUUUUC
rnacentral:lncRNA from 1 species